CACGUAGGGCGCGAGCGUUGUCCGGAAUUAUUGGGCGUAAAGAGCUCGUAGGCGGCCUGUUGCGUCCGCUGUGAAAGCCCGGGGCUUAACCCCGGGUCGGCAGUGGAUACGGGCAGGCUAGAGGUAGGUAGGGGAGAAUGGAAUUCCCGGUGUAGCGGUGAAAUGCGCAGAUAUCGGGAGGAACACCGGUUGCGAAGGCGGUUCUCUGGGCCUUACCUGACGCUGAGGAGCGAAAGCGUGGGGAGCGAACAGG
rnacentral:rRNA from 1 species